UACGUAGGGGGCAAGCGUUGUCCGGAAUUAUUGGGCGUAAAGAGCGUGUAGGCGGCCAGAUAGGUCCGUUGUGAAAACUCGAGGCUCAACCUCGAGACGCCGAUGGAAACCAUUUGGCUAGAGUCCGGAAGAGGAGAGUGGAAUUCCUGGUGUAGCGGUGAAAUGCGCAGAUAUCAGGAAGAACACCCGUGGCGAAGGCGGCUCUCUGGGACGGUACUGACGCUGAGACGCGAAAGCGUGGGGAGCGAACAGG
rnacentral:rRNA from 1 species